rnacentral:rRNA from 1 species
AUUGAACGCUGGCGGCAUGCCUUACACAUGCAAGUCGAACGGCAGCACGGGAGCAAUCCUGGUGGCGAGUGGCGAACGGGUGAGUAAUAUAUCGGAACGUGCCCAGUCGUGGGGAUAACGUAGCGAAAGCUACGCUAAUACCGCAUACGAUCUAUGGAUGAAAGCGGGGGAUCGCAAGACCUCGCGCGAUUGGAGCGGCCGAUAUCAGAUUAGGUAGUUGGUGAGGUAAAGGCUCACCAAGCCGACGAUCUGUAGCUGGUCUGAGAGGACGACCAGCCACACUGGGACUGAGACACGGCCCAGACUCCUACGGGAGGCAGCAGUGGGGAAUUUUGGACAAUGGGCGCAAGCCUGCUCCAGCAAUGCCGCGUGCAGGAUGAAGGCC